UGUUCUGUGGCUUAGUUGGUUAAAGCGCCGGUCUAGCGCAUACGGAGCCGUGGGUUCAAAUCCCACCAGAACGC
rnacentral:tRNA from 1 species